UCGGAUCGCAUGGGCUUGUCCCGCGACAAACCAUUCAAGUUUCUGCCCCAUCAUGCUUUCGAUGGUAGUGUAUUGGACUACCAUGGCUUUCACGGGUAACGGAGGAUUAGGGUUCGAUUCCGGAGAGGGAGCCUGAGAAACGGCUACCACUUCCACGGAAGGCAGCAGGCGCGUAAAUUACCCAAUCCUGACUCAGGGAGGUAGUGACAAGAAAUAAUGGGUCGGGGUUCUGCCCCGGGACCGCAAUGAGACGAAUUUAGACCCCUUAUCGAGGACCAAUUGGAGGGCAAGUCUGGUGCCAGCAGCCGCGGUAAUUCCAGCUCCAAUAGCGUAUAUUAAAGUUGUUGCAGUUAAAAAGCUCGUAGUUGGAUUUCUGGUAGUGGGCAAGAGCUCGUUGCACGUUGCUCGCGUUCAUUGCCAUCCUUCUGUUAACCUAUCAGGGCAUUCUAUUGUCAGUUAGGGGCUCAGAUAUUUUACCUUGAGAAAAUUAGAGUGUUUCAGGCAGGCUUGUGCCCGGAUACAUUAGCAUGGAAUAAUGGAAUAGGACUUUAGCCUCUUCUGUUGGUCUGAGGGGUUGAAGUAAUGAUUAAUAGGGAUAGUUGGGGGCAUUAGUACUUAACUGUCAGAGGUGAAAUUCUCGGAUUUGUUAAAGACUAACUUAUGCGAAAGCAUUUGCCAAGGAUGUUUUCAUUAAUCAAGAACGAAAGUUAGGGGAUCAAAGACGAUCAGAUACCGUCCUAGUCUUAACCAUAAACUAUGCCGACUCGGGAUCGGGGGCCAGAGUUAACUGCCUUCGGCACCGUAUGAGAAAUCAAAGUCUUUGGGUUCUGGGGGGAGUAUGGUCGCAAGGCUGAAACUUAAAGGAAUUGACGGAAGGGCACCACCAGGCGUGGAGCUUGCGGCUCAAUUUGACUCAACACGGGGAAACUUACCAGGUCCAGACAUAGUGAGGAUUGACAGAUUGAUAGCUCUUUCUUGAUUCUGUGGGUGGUGGUGCAUGGCCGUUCUUAGUUGGUGGAGUGAUUUGUCUGGUUAAUUCCGUUAACGAACGAGACCUUAGCCUACUAAAUAGUCGCAACAAUUACGAUUGGCUGCGUCUUCUUAGAGGGACUUUGCAAGCAACUGCAAGGAAGUUUGAGGCAAUAACAGGUCUGUGAUGCCCUUAGAUGUCCUGGGCCGCACGCGUGCUACACUGACGCAUACAGCGAGUAUCACCAGCUCCGUGAGGCUGCUGGUAAUCAGCAAUAUGCGUCGUGCUGGGGAUAGAUCUUUGGAAUUUUUGAUCUUGAACGAGGAAUGCCUAGUAAGCGCAGGUCAUCAGCCUGCGUUGAUUAAGUCCCUGCCCUUUGUACACACCGCCCGUCGCUCCUACCGAUUUCGAGUGGUCCGGUGAACCCUUUGGACCGAGAGCGCCUCGUGAG
rnacentral:rRNA from 1 species